UUUAUCGGAGAGUUUGAUCCUGGCUCAGGACGAACGCUGGCGGCGUGCCUAAUACAUGCAAGUCGAGCGGACAGAUGGGAGCUUGCUCCCUGAUGUCAGCGGCGGACGGGUGAGUAACACGUGGGUAAC
rnacentral:rRNA from 1 species